rnacentral:lncRNA from 1 species
CUUCUACGGACAGAUUCUUUUAUUGUUGUUGUUUACUCAUUUUCCCCAGAAUAUUUCUUUUCUUUGGACUUUAUUUUAUAGUUAGGCUCUGCUCCAAGGAUGGCCAUGAAGGAGCACUGAGUCAAGCUUUAGGCUUUUUCACCUAGAUCUUCUCAGAGCUAAUUCUGGGGUUAGGAAAAUUCCCACUGCUUUCAAGAUGGUAUGAUUUAGGGAGAAGUGUGAUCACCACUAACCAAGGAAGCACCUUUGAUCCCUUUCAGCUGCAACUACUACUGUUUCUCUGGACUACUGACCUAUUGGGACUAAAAGAGAUUUUCUCCAUCUAGAACUGUGCUCUGAUAACAGAUUUAAUCACCAGAAGCAUAUACACCCCACUUUUCCUUAAGUGGGGGAGGUCUGUGAUCCAUGUGUGUGAUAGUGGGUGAUGAAUCAGAACCCACUGACUGCCACCUGGGCAAUCCUAAACAAAACUUUAGCUGUAAUUGGUUCGUGUAAAAUGGAAGGAAGUCACAGGAAGUGACAAAAAGGAAUGGUUUUUAAAAAUGCCAAGAACUUCCUGUGACAAAGUCUUUCACUUUCAACAUGACCCUGGAGGAGCUCCAGCUGAGGACCUUGGACUGCUUCUAUUUUCCCUUAGAACUACCAUGUGAGAUUACCUCUCAUUGGACCUAUCCCAGUACCUCAUUCUCCAUCAUCUUUGGCUCUUCUGGAACCUCAUAUGCUCAAGACAAUAAGGGGAGGGAACUUCCUUCCUAAACAUAGUUGAUGUGCUCACAUGGGGAAAGAAUGUAAUCAUGGAACAGAGAGGAAAUAUUGCUACAACCGUAUAACAAUAAACAAAUGAAUUCCUUUACCA